rnacentral:rRNA from 1 species
UACAGAGGUCUCAAGCGUUGUUCGGAUUCAUUGGGCGUAAAGGGUGCGUAGGCGGCGCGGUAAGUCGGGUGUGAAAUCUUGGAGCUUAACUCCGAAACUGCAUUCGAUACUGCCGUGCUUGAGGACUGGAGAGGAGACUGGAAUUUACGGUGUAGCGGUGAAAUGCGCAGAUAUCGGGGAGGAACACCGGUGGCGAAGGCGGUUCUCUGGGCAUUGACCUGACGUG